UGCAAGUCGAACGGUCUUUCUAUGGAAGCUUGCUUCCACUGAGAAGAUAGUGGCGAACGGGUGAGGUAACACGUGGGUAACCUGCCCAUAAGAGGGGGAGUAACAUCCGGAAACGGGUGCUAAUACCGCAUAGUUUUCUUGAUCGCAUGAUUGAGAAAGGAAAGACGGCCUUUGUGCUGUCGCUUAUGGAUGGACCCGCGGCGUAUUAGUUAGUUGGUGAGGUAACGGCUCACCAAGACGAUGAUACGUAGCCGACCUGAGAGGGUGAUCGGCCACAUUGGGACUGAGACACGGCCCAAACUCCUACGGGAGGCAGCAGUAGGGAAUCUUCCGCAAUGGACGAAAGUCUGACGGAGCAACGCCGCGUGAGUGAAGAAAAGGUUUUCGGAUCGUAAAACUCUGUUGUCAGAGAAGAACAAGUUGGAGAGUAACUGCUCCAGCCUUGACGGUAUCUGACCAGAAAGCCACGGCUAACUACGUGCCAGCCGCGGC
rnacentral:rRNA from 1 species